GUUUUUCUUUUUCUUUUUGCCUUUGUUAUUUCUCGGUUGCAAGUUAGUUUUCAAAAACCCCAAAACCAAAAAAAUAGAAGAAGCUUUGCUUCGCUCUUUUUCUUCAGUUUAGCCCCUUGGAAUUCAUUUACAUUUUAAAUUUAGAGGAUUUGAUCUCAGCCAGGAUAACGAGGAAUGCAAGAUUAUGGAAGAGAAGAGUGUAAAAUCACAACCAUAAAGGUUUGUACUACUACCCCCG
rnacentral:lncRNA from 1 species